UAGAUGGGUAUCCCUACAUAGCGGGUGGGCAUACCCACGGCGAAUGGUUCAUCAAGUCUUCAAAAAAGAAUAUAUACGAUUGCAUUGCAAAUACUAACGGAUGCGAUCAUACCAGCACUAAUGCACCGGAUCCCAUCAGAACUCCGCAGUUAAGCGUGCUUGGGCGAGAGUAGUACUAGGAUGGGUGACCUCCCGGGAAGUCCUCGUGUUGCAUCCCUCUUUU
rnacentral:rRNA from 1 species